CCUACGUGAGGCAGCAGUGAGGAAUAUUGGUCAAUGGACGAGAGUCUGAACCAGCCAAGUAGCGUGAAGGAUGACUGCCCUAUGGGUUGUAAACUUCUUUUAUAUGGGAAUAAAAUGUUCCACGUGUGGGAUUUUGUAUGUACCAUAUGAAUAAGGAUCGGCUAACUCCGUGCCAGCAGCCGCGGUAAUACUGAGGAUCCGAUCGUUAUCCGGAUUUCUUGGGUUUAAAGGGAGAGUAGAAGGAUUGUUAAGUCAGUUGUGAAAUUUUGCGGCUCAACCGUAAAAUUGCAGUUGAUACUGGCAGUCUUGAGUACAGUAGAGGUAGGCGGAAUUCGUGGUGUAGCGGUGAAAUGCUUAGAUAUCACGAAGAACUCCGAUUGCGAAGGCAGUUCAAUGGACUGCAACUGACACUGAGGCUCGAAAGUGUGGGUAUCAAACAGGAUUAGAUACCCGGGUAGUC
rnacentral:rRNA from 1 species